CCCUCCCUGUUGCUUUGCCCCAUGACUCAUCGCCAAGGUAACCGCCAGCACUCAACUCGUCUCAGACAUCCUGGCAAGAUCUGUGCCCGAAAACUCAACCCAUGGAAGACCUGGAGGUGCUGAUGGGAGCGGAAAGCAAAGUGGAGGAAGCCCGUGUUGUUUUCCAUACCUGAUAACCCUCCGUCCCCUGUCUCUCUGUAGUCCGACCUGUCAGACGCAGUUUCCUGGAAUUCUGAUUCCUGAGGGGAGUGCGUGGGACGGGAACACAAAAGGAUACUGUCAGUCACUGUAAGGUCGUCACUGCAUAACAAACACAUUAAUCUAGCAGGCAUGACCGGUGGCACGUCAAUAAGCACAUGCCUGAGGAGGCAGAGUAAAGCAAGGUGCGGUUAUGUGGUGAUAAAAAGGCGCAGCCAAGGAUCUGAGUACAUAGCCUAAUUUUAUACACUCCAUGGAAUAAAUUACACAUUACCAUUACUCACUAAAAUUGAGGACAGCACAAUUUAAUAAUAUCCACUGAUUGUCUUACGUUAUUUACCUAAUAUAGAAAUAAAACGUAAUGCUACUGAUUACUACAUGUAAUAAUGCUAGGAAGAGGUCUAAUAUAAAGAUAAUUUAGUACUAAAUGUCUGUUUCAACUAAAAAACAAAUCACUAUGUCAUGUUUUAUGUUUUUAAGUAUGCCAGCUUUUAGUCAGUGUCAGAACAAACUGAGUGAAGAAUGAUUGUCCUGAGGGGUGUCCACGUUCCUUGCUCUCCUGUUCAAACCAACCCCUCUAUUUGCCUAAUAAUAGUGUUAGAUAAUCUUUUACUAUCGUCUGGAGCUCUGCAUGUGUGUUGAGCAUUGGUUUAUGAACCACGUAAUCUUUGUUCCUGUGUGUGUCCGAUAUGACAGCAGUCAGCUCUGAACAAAGGAAACCUACCAUAAACAUGUCCGGCUUCGAGGGAGGGGUUGGAGAUAAAUGCUUCGACGGAUUUAUCUCUCAUUGAUACCGUGACACACACACACACACACACACACAGAGAUGAACACGCAGGCAACACGCACAAUAAGAUAAACCCUUUCAGCCCACAAGAUCAAAGCUGCAUCUGCUGUGCUGGAAGCCUUAACAAAAACACAAAUGAUUAGGUCUGAAGAAUUACACGCAUGGUGUGACACACUGAACUGGCACCCAGAAGUUCUGAUAGUCACACACUUAUACCUCACAUACUGUACUGUUUUGUCUUCUCACAUAACGCCCUCCUGUCAUUAACUGCUGGUGUAUUCACAUUCAGUCACUUGACAGGGGGAACAGAGGGGACAUUACUAAGGGCAGGACUCAUUAUGGCCGUCGGCUGUGAGUGGUCAGCUGAUAAAUAAAGAAUGCUGCACAUGAUAAGAUCGUGUCUUUGCUCCAGCAGGUCAGUCAGGCUCCAUCAGACCUGCUGCCAAUGGGGGAAGAAAACCCACGCGUUGCACUUUAUUAAUAUUUGCUUUGUUAAAGUAAACACCACGCAAUCUUCUUUCCUGUUUCAGCAGAAAGUGAGAAUCAUGUGCUCAACCAGCUCGGCUGUGUAACUUACCGUGAUUCAGCACACUCAUAGCUACGUUGUGGGAAGGGUAUGGGUAUGUACACAAACAGGUUUGUAGUUGAAGCUGUAUUGUUUUUCAGGGUGAAGGUUUCUUUACAUGGCUAGCCUGUGGUAAUAAAUGGGUGAGUUUAUAUGUGGAGCAGUGAUGACAAUUGACUCAGCGUUGCGUCAGUCCAGGAGCAUAAAAUUCUCACACCAAGCUUGUGUCCGGCAGUCACAAUAAAUCAGCCAUGCGUUUAAUACUUUCACGGCGCAUUUGUUAACUUAGCCUGUGUCAAAAUAACGAUCCUCUGGCCUAGAAAGGAUCAACCCCAACAGAUGUCUGAACAUCUGCUGAUGAGAUGUCUCCUUUCGGAUGAAGUAACGAACACUUGACAUUCCAGGAUUUUUGUUAAAACGUGCCCCUCCUCCUUCUCAUUAUUCUGGAGUCUCCACUGCUAAUCAGAAUUAUUGAUCAGAGCCUGUGGACACAGCUUACGUAACAUGUGUCGCCCUCCCCCCUAAAGAGGAUAAAGAGGAAAAAUCUUCAGCAGAAAUUCGCAGAAACACACACACACACACACACACACACACACACACACACACACACACACACACACACACACACACACAGACUGACAACUGUGUUUAGAGAGAUCAGGACACACAGAUCAUGUUGAACAAGGAGCUCAGGACACAUUUCACUGACAUCCUAUCUACAGUCACUGAACACUCUGACCACAGUGCGUGCGUGUGUGUGUGUACAUGUGUGUUUGGAGUUUCCAGUGUUUUACGCUUCAUUGAUGAAGAAAGACUUUGGUUUCACUCAACUGAGAAAUGAAUGACUUUAAUCCAGUCAGAAGGAGAUGAGCCUCUGUUCUCUGUAAACCCCCUGCAGAAUGGAUAAAUGAUUGUUUUUGGGUUCAAUACCCCCCCUUGUGGUAGUUUAAUCAACUGCAUGAACAUAGUGCAUGAAUUCAUGUCUGUCAAAUAAAAUUAUUAAUUUAUAUAUUUUUAAUAAAACUUUAUUAAUUUA